AGUGAACGCUGGCGGUAGGCCUAACACAUGCAAGUCGAACGGCAGCACAGUAAGAGCUUGCUCUUACGGGUGGCGAGUGGCGGACGGGUGAGGAAUACAUCGGAAUCUACUUUUUCGUGGGGGGUAACGUAGGGAAACUUACGCUAAUACCGCAUACGACCUACGGGUGAAAGCAGGGGAUCUUCGGACCUUGCGCGAUUGAAUGAGCCGAUGUCGGAUUAGCUAGUUGGCGGGGUAAAGGCCCACCAAGGCGACGAUCCGUAGCUGGUCUGAGAGGAUGAUCAGCCACACUGGAACUGAGACACGGUCCAGACUCCUACGGGAGGCAGCAGUGGGGAAUAUUGGACAAUGGGCGCAAGCCUGAUCCAGCCAUACCGCGUGAGUGAAGAAGGCCUUCGGGUUGUAAAGCCCUUUUGUUGGGAAAGAAAAGCAGCAGGUUAAUACCCCGCUGUUCUGACGGUACCCAAAGAAUAAGCACCGGCUAACUUCGUG
rnacentral:rRNA from 1 species